CUUAAACAGAGCUGUGAACUCAGUCUAAGGAAGCAGACCCAGGAAAGGGGAGCGAGAGAAGGUUCCCUGUCUGGGAGGGGCCUGGGGAAGUCCAGCUGAAGAGACCCAAAGGGGGCAGAAGGGGACUGAACUUUCCAGUGACCUGGCUGGAGGCCAGAAGACUCGGACAGAACCAGGCCAUUGAAGAGCCACGAAGUAUCCACUGGGGGAGCUAGAGGUGAAGUCCCCUGCAACAUUGCACCCUCCCAGAAGGGGGUGCUAUCAUGAAACAAGAGAAUAGAACAGUGAGCAGUUUGCCAGGCAUUGGCCUGGGGCAGGAAACACAGGAAGAAAUGUGCAGGUCCUCCAAAUUCAGGAACUUGAAAGUUUUCCACAGAGCUCUGUGGAAAACUCAUCUUCCA